rnacentral:rRNA from 1 species
UUGUCUCAAAGAUUAAGCCAUGCAUGUCUAAGUAUAAGCACUUUAUACUGUGAAACUGCGAAUGGCUCAUUAAAUCAGUUAUCGUUUAUUUGAUAGUACCUUACUACAUGGAUACCUGUGGUAAUUCUAGAGCUAAUACAUGCUGAAAACCUCGACUUCGGAAGGGGUGUAUUUAUUAGAUAAAAAACCAAUGCCCUUCGGGGCUCCUUGGUGAAUCAUAAUAACUUAACGAAUCGCAUGGCCUUGCGCCGGCGAUGGUUCAUUCAAAUUUCUGCCCUAUCAACUUUCGAUGGUAGGAUAGUGGCCUACCAUGGUGGCAACGGGUAACGGGGAAUUAGGGUUCGUUCCGGAGAGGGAGCCUGAGAAACGGCUACCACAUCCAAGGAAGGCAGCAGGCGCGCAAAUUACCCAAUCCCGACACGGGGAGGUAGUGACAAUAAAUACUGAUACGGGGCUCUUUUGGGUCUCGUAAUUGGAAUGAGUACAAUCUAAAUCCCUUAACGAGGACAAUUGGAGGGCAAGU